AUUGAACGCUGGCGGCAUGCCUUACACAUGCAAGUCGAACGGUAACAGGUCUUCGGAUGCCGUCGAGUGGCGAACGGGUGAGUAAUACAUCGGAACGUGCCUAGUAGUGGGGGAUAACUACUCGAAAGAGUGGCUAAUACCGCAUGAGAUCUACGGAUGAAAGCAGGGGAUCGCAAGACCUUGUGCUACUAGAGCGGCCGAUGGCAGAUUAGGUAGUUGGUGGGAUAAAAGCUUACCAAGCCGACGAUCUGUAGCUGGUCUGAGAGGACGAUCAGCCACACUGGGACUGAGACACGGCCCAGACUCCUACGGGAGGCAGCAGUGGGGAAUUUUGGACAAUGGGCGCAAGCCUGAUCCAGCAAUGCCGCGUGCAGGAUGAAGGCCUUCGGGUUGUAAACUGCUUUUGUACGGAACGAAAAGCCCUGGGUUAAUACCCUGGGGUCAUGACGGUACCGUAAGAAUAAGCACCGGCUAACUACGUGCCAGCCGCCGCCGUAAAAC
rnacentral:rRNA from 1 species